AAGUCGUAACAAGGUUUCCGUAGGUGAACCUGCGGAAGGAUCAUUAAAAAGUUUGAGUGUUCACGCAUUCUAAUUUCCACCCUGUGUAUCUGUUACCGUAAGCUUCCGCUGGGCUGCGGAGGGGAGCCUUUGCGCUCGCCUCCCCUUCUGACUGGGCAACAGCCCCCUCGGGAGAGUCCUGGCGGGAGCCAACCAAACAAACCCUUUUUCGUUACAUACAGUCUGAGAAUGAUCUAAAAAAUCAAUUAAAACUUUCAACAAUGGAUCUCUUGGUUCUC
rnacentral:misc_RNA from 1 species